rnacentral:rRNA from 1 species
ACGGGUGAGUAACACGUGGGUAACCUACCUAUAAGACUGGGAUAACUCCGGCCAAACCGGGGCUAAUACCGGAUAAUAUUUUGAACCGCAUGGUUCAAUAGUGAAAGACGGUUUCGGCUGUCACUUAUAGAUGGACCCGCGCCGUAUUAGCUAGUUGGUAAGGUAACGGCUUACCAAGGCGACGAUACGUAGCCGACCUGAGAGGGUGAUCGGCCACACUGGAACUGAGACACGGUCCAGACUCCUACGGGAGGCAGCAGUAGGGAAUCUUCCGCAAUGGGCGAAAGCCUGACGGAGCAACGCCGCGUGAGUGAUGAAGGUCUUCGGAUCGUAAAACUCUGUUGUUAGGGAAGAACAAAUUUGUUAGUAACUGAACAAGUCUUGACGGUACCUAACCAGAAAGCCACGGCUAACUACGUGCCAGCAGCCGCGGUAAUACGUAGGUGGCAAGCGUUAUCCGGAAUUAUUGGGCGUAAAGCGCGCGUAGGCGGUUUCUUAAGUCUGAUGUGAAAGCCCACGGCUCAACCGUGGAGGGUCAUUGGAAACUGGGGAAACUUGAGUGCAGAAGAGGAAAGUGGAAUUCCAUGUGUAGCGGUGAAAUGCGACAGAGAUAUGGAGGAACACCAGUGGCGAAGGCGACUUUAUGGUCUGUAACUGACGCUGAUGUGCGAAAGCGUGGGGAUCAAACAGGAUUAGAUACCGUGGUAGUCCACGCCGUAAACGAUGAGUGCUAAGUGUUAGGGGGUUUCCGCCCCUUAGUGCUGCAGCUAACGCAUUAAGCACUCCGCCUGGGGAGUGCGACCGCAAGGUUGAAACUCAAAGGAAUUGACGGGGACCCGCACAAGCGGUGGAGCAUGUGGUUUAAUUCGAAGCAACGCGAAGAACCUUACCAAAUCUUGACAUCCUCUGACCCCUCUAGAGAUAGAGUUUUCCCCUUCGGGGGACAGAGUGACAGGUGGUGCAUGGUUGUCGUCAGCUCGUGUCGUGAGAUGUUGGGUUAAGUCCCGCAACGAGCGCAACCCUUAAGCUUAGUUGCCAUCAUUAAGUUGGGCACUUUAAGUUGACUGCCGGUGACAAACCGGAGGAAGGUGGGGAUGACGUCAAAUCAUCAUGCCCCUUAUGAUUUGGGCUACACACGUGCUACAAUGGACAAUACAAAGGGUAGCGAAACCGCGAGGUCAAGCAAAUCCCAUAAAGUUGUUCUCAGUUCGGAUUGUAGUCUGCAACUCGACUAUAUGAAGCUGGAAUCGCUAGUAAUCGUAGAUCAGCAUGCUACGGUGAAUACGUUCCCGGGUACUUGUACACACCGCCCGUCACACCACGAGAGUUUGUAACACCCGAAGCCGGUGGAGUAACCAUUUGGAGC